AACGAACGCUGGCGGCAUGCCUAACACAUGCAAGUCGAACGAUAUCUUCGGGUCUAGUGGCGCACGGGUGCGUAACGCGUGGGAAUCUGCCCUUUGGUUCGGAAUAACAGUUGGAAACGACUGCUAACACCGGAUGAUGACGAAAGUCCAAAGAUUUAUCGCCAGAGGAUGAGCCCGCGUAGGAUUAGCUAGUUGGUGUGGUAAAGGCGCACCAAGGCGACGAUCCUUAGCUGGUCUGAGAGGAUGAUCAGCCACACUGGGACUGAGACACGGCCCAGACUCCUACGGGAGGCAGCAGUGGGGAAUAUUGGACAAUGGGCGAAAGCCUGAUCCAGCAAUGCCGCGUGAGUGAUGAAGGCCUUAGGGUUGUAAAGCUCUUUUACCCGGGAUGAUAAUGACAGUACCGGGAGAAUAAGCUCCGGCUAACUCCGUGCCAGCCGCCGCGGUAA
rnacentral:rRNA from 1 species